GACGAACGCUGGCGGCGUGCUUAACACAUGCAAGUCGAACGGAAAGGCCCUGCUUUUGUGGGGUGCUCGAGUGGCUACCGUUUGAUUAACACUUUCGUAACCUGCCCUUUACUUUGUUAUACCUUCAGGAAACUGGGGCUAAUCCCUGAUAGGAUCUCCUGCUGCAUGGUGUGUGUUGGAAAGUUUCGGCGGUUGGGUAUGGACUCGCGGCUUCUCAGCUUGUUGUUGGUGUAGUUGCUUACCAAGGCUUUGACGGGUAGCCGGCCUGAGAGGGUGAACGGACAAAUGGGGACUGAGAUACGGCCCAGACUACUAAGGGAGGCAGCAGUGGGGAAUAUUGCACAAUGGGCGGAAGCCUGAUGCAGCAACGCAGCGGGCGGGAUGACGGCCUUCGGGUUGUAAAACGAUUUCGCCUGUGACGAAGCGUGAGUGACGGUAAUGGGUAAAGAAGCACCGGCUAACUACGUG
rnacentral:rRNA from 1 species